rnacentral:ncRNA from 1 species
UUAAAAGUGAUGAAAGAGAAAAGUAGGUAGACUGAAGUCCUUCAGGGAUAAGGUGCCAUAGACUGGAAGCAUCUUUAGGAAAGAGGUAUACUGAAGUUCGCUCUUGAGCUGUAGGGUGAAACUGCUCCGAAAGCAGUAAGUAGUCCGAACCGGAUCUUCUCCGUUAAAAUGAAGCCAGUAUCGGGUAGAUAUACCCCGUACAGGAAACUCAAGGUGGCUAGAUAUUUUCUAGCUAUUAGGGUGGUACCGCGCUAAGCAUAAGCUUUUCGUCCCUACA